rnacentral:lncRNA from 1 species
UGGUCAAUCCCAUCUUGACAGAUGCACCGACAAGUCAAGUACUUGACUACACCCAGCAGCCUUCCGUCAUUGAAUUAGAAAUUCAGGUAGUCCAGUGCCUAAGUGCAGUGAGUUGCUUGCAAGUCACCGUGGCGGUCUCAGGUUGGAGGGAUAUUUAUACCCAUAUUCCAUCGGAGCAAAUCUUGAUAGCAGAAAUAGC